rnacentral:rRNA from 1 species
GGCAUUGGGGCGUGCCUACCAUGCAAGUCGAACGGAUCCAUACUGAAACCUAGUGAUGUAUGGGUUAGUGGCGGACGGGUGAGUAACGCGUGGAUAACCUGCCGUAUACAGGGGGAUAACACUUAGAAAUAGGUGCUAAUACCGCAUAAGCGCACGGUUCCGCAUGGAACAGUGUGAAAAACUCCGGUGGUAUACGAUGGAUCCGCGUCUGAUUAGCCAGUUGGUGGGGUAACGGCCCACCAAAGCGACGAUCAGUAGCCGGCCUGAGAGGGUGAACGGCCACAUUGGGACUGAGACACGGCCCAAACUCCUACGGGAGGCAGCAGUGGGGAAUAUUGCACAAUGGGGGAAACCCUGAUGCAGCGACGCCGCGUGAGUGAAGAAGGGUUUCGGCUCGUAAAGCUCUGUUGGUAGUGAAGAAAGAUAGAGGUAGUAACUGGCCUUUAUUUGACGGUAAUUACUUAGAAAGUCACGGCUAACUACGUGCCAGCAGCCGCGGUAAUACGUAGGUGGCAAGCGUUGUCCGGAUUUAUUGGGCGUAAAGCGAGUGCAGGCGGUUCAAUAAGUCUGAUGUGAAAGCCUUCGGCUCAACCGGAGAAUUGCAUCAGAAACUGUUGAACUUGAGUGCAGAAGAGGAGAGUGGAACUCCAUGUGUAGCGGUGGAAUGCGUAGAUAUAUGGAAGAACACCAGUGGCGAAGGCGGCUCUCUGGACUGCAACUGACGCUGAGGCUCGAAAGCAUGGGUAGCGAACAGGAUUAGAUACCCUGGUAGUCCAUGCCGUANACGAUGAGUGCUAAGU